UUUUAUCCCAAAAAGAAGGAACCGUUCAGGCAAAACGCUAUACGUACCUGAAAGAGAAGAGGUUUCUAUUCGUUUUUUCCAACCUACAGUUCCUAGGCACCAGGAUUGCUCGCUGCUACCAUUCGUAAGCAGAGAAGAAAAGCAGCUAGAAAAGAAAAAGACCAUGUCUCCCAAUCCCGCUUGAGCAAAGCAAGGACACAAUUACUGAGAAAGCAGCGGCAGUUAUUGUCGAAGGAGAGAGAUGGAUUGCUUUGAUUCUGCCUGAUGAAUUCAGGUAGUGCUGAUGUAGUUCAUAUAUUGCAACCUGUUUCA